rnacentral:rRNA from 1 species
CAAACGACUCUCGGCAACGGAUGUCUCGGCUCACGCAUCGAUGAAGAACGUAGCAAAAUGCGAUACUUGGUGUGAAUUGCAGAAUCCCGUGAGCCAUCGAGUUUUUGAACGCAAGUUGCGCCCGAAGCCAUUUGGCCGAGGGCACGUCUGCCUGGGCGUCACGC